rnacentral:lncRNA from 1 species
UAAUACAGCCUAACCCAUUUUUUCCUCAUUCUUCUUUCUUCUCCAACUAUUUUCCCUCUUCUUCCCUCUACUCUUCUGCCCCCAGCUCGGUCUAUUUGUUAAUUUUAUCCUCCAAUCUAACCAUAUUAGGUGUGAUUUUCCUCUAUCUCACUGCCCCUCUCCCUCACCCUCUUCAUCUCCCCGUCCAGCCGCCCCCUGUCCACUCUUCUCCAAUUAUUUUUUUCUUAUGUUGUUUAAAUCUCCCCUGGUGCAGGAAUUCGGCAUCUCAUCUCCCCUUCGGAUAUAGUUCGGCAGUAGAUUGAUUUAUUUUUCAGAUUUUUUUGUAAUAUAAUAUGUAUAUAGUGAUAUCAAAAAUUUACUUGUUUAGAUUAAUUAGUCAUCUUUAUUGUUUAUAUCAUUUCUUGUUUAAUACUUGUUUAUAUCAACUCUAGUUUAAAUUGCAUAAUAAAUUCGUUUUUAAUGUUUAUAUUGUUAUAUUUAUUAUGUAUACUUUAUGUUCUUCAAAAUUGGUUAUAUUUGUUUGUAGUGGAUGUUGGAUUUGUUGAUUGCUAUAUUAGGUUUGGUUAAUUAUUAGGUGCUUGUUUGGCUGUUUUAUUUGGCAAG